rnacentral:rRNA from 1 species
UACGUAGGGGGCAAGCGUUGAUCGGAAUUACUGGGCGUAAAGCGUGCGCAGGCGGUCUGCUAAGUGAGGGGUGAAAUCCCCGGGCUUAACCUGGGAACUGCGUUUCUAACUGGCAGGCUUGAGUGUGGCAGAGGGGGGUGGAAUUCCACGUGUAGCAGUGAAAUGCGUAGAGAUGUGGAGGAACACCGAUGGCGAAGGCAGCCCCCUGGGCUAAUACUGACGCUCAGGCACGAAAGCGUGGGGAGCAAACAGG